UAAACAUAAUGAAAUAAUAAUUAUUUAUCCUUGAAGAGUUCAGUUUAUUGAUAUAAAAUUAAUCUCAUUGGAGCAAUGAAAUUUCUAUAAAUAGAACCAAAAAUAACGAGAUAAACACAAACAGUUUUGCCUGUAACAAAUUACUUGUACACAAAAAAGUUGUUCAGUUUAAAUUGUCAACAACAAAAAAGAAAUGGAGGGGAAGGCCAUCAAAUUAGUAGUCUAUUUCUUCUUCGCGACAGUGAUGUUGCAAAUGCUUUAUGCGAACGCAACAUGUGACGGAACCCCAUGCAAUCCCAAUGUUACGCCAAACUGUUGUCCUGAACACGUAUGUCUUCCAAUUGUUCCAACUGAUCCGAUGAGUAAUCAUUUUUGCGUCGAUUGUGAGGUGCACGCAGGGCAUCCUUGUACCCCUGGUGUUCGUGAAUGUUGUCCUAAUACAUCCCUUCAGUGUGUGGCCACCUCUACUCCAGACGAGUACCAAUGCGAAUGAAUCCAUGCAUCCUCGUGAAGCAUCCUCAACACUACGAGUUUUACUUCUUACUUCUUUCCAUGUUGAAUUGUGACCAUAUAUCGUAUACACGUACACAUUGCGGAGUACUUUGUUUCGACUUGUUUUUCAUUCAGUUCGUGUUAUAUCGUAUACGCGUAUUCAGUUCUUGUUUGUUACCCUAACGAGUGUUUGAUGCUUGUUUUUAUCCCAUCUACCGGACCUGAGGCUAGUUGGGAACUUGUUGUACAAUCAGUCUAUCAUGCAUAGAUCAAUAAUAAAUUUUCUAUUUCUAUA